rnacentral:rRNA from 1 species
GUUCUCUUCGUCCUCGACAGUCAACAUAGCAGAGUCACAGACGGAACAAGUGUGAAAGCCCCGCGCGGUUUAUCCAACUCCUAGUCCGUAGCCCUGGCUCCCCCUCUGCCUCCUACCCUACGAGCUCCCCCUAGCUAGCUCCCCACCACCACCUCCUAUAGCCACCCAUGGCCAUCACCACCAUGUGUCGCCACCCCACCUCCACUCCCCACUUCCCACCCACUCCGCUUCCCGGCCCCCCAUUAAACGCCCGUGAGCUAGCACGCGAUCCCCUACCCACCACCGGGCGACGUGCUCCGUCUCCAUCACUCCUCCUCGACCGUUGCUCCGUGUCCGCGGAGAGGCGCUGCGUCCUCACCUGACGGCGGCCAUGAUAGGCAUCGACCUCAACACCGUGGAGGACGAGGAGGAGGGCGGUCCCUCGGCUGAGCCCCCGAGGGGCACGGUGUGCCUAGAGCUGUGGCACGCGUGCGCCGGCCCCGUGGGGCCGCUGCCUCGGAAGGGCAGCGCCGUCGUGUACCUGCCGGAGGGCCACCUCGAGCACACCCGGGAGGCGGUGGCCGCGGUGCCGCCCCAUGUGUUCUGCCGAGUUGUCGAUGUCAAUCUCCAGGCGGACCCAGCGACGGACGAGGUUUACGCGCAAGUUUCUCUCCUGGUCGACAACGAGGAAGCCAAGAGGCGGAUGCGCCAAGGGGAGAGCGAGGAAGCUUGCGACGGUGACGGCGAGGACACCGGUGCCGCGAAGCGCCGAGCUCGCAUGCCCCACAUGUUCUGCAAGACGCUCACGGCUUCCGACACCAGCACGCACGGGGGCUUCUCCGUGCCGCGCCGUGCCGCUGAGGACUGCUUCCCGCCUCUGGAUUACAACCUGCAGAGGCCGUCCCAGGAGCUUGUGGCCAAGGAUCUGCACGGCACCGAGUGGAGGUUCCGACAUAUCUAUCGAGGCCAGCCACGGAGGCACCUUUUAACCACUGGAUGGAGUGCAUUCGUCAACAAAAAGAAGCUUGUCUCUGGGGAUGCAGUGCUGUUCCUCCGAGGUGAAGAUGGAGUGCUCCAAUUGGGAGUGCGCCGAGCUGCUCAGCUAAAAAAUGUAUCCCCUUUUCCUGCACUUUUUAACCAGGAUUCAAGUCUUCGUAGUCUCGGUAAUGUUGCCCAUGCUGUGGCUAUGAAAAGUAUUUUUCACAUCUACUACAAUCCCAGGUACUUUGCUGAUUGUUUUCAUAACCGUCUCAAUUGCCUGUAUUAAUUAAGGUCGUACAAGUCGCUUCCUCUCCUUAUCUCAACCAUAAUAAGAAAAUGUUCGACUAAUGCACAGUUAUAGUGUUCACCUAGAAAAAGUUAGACACGUCGGCAACCAUAAUAAGAAAAGGUUGGAUGAAUACACAGUUCUAGUGUUUUCCUUGAACAAGUUGUACAUGUUGGCGACCAUAAUAAGAAAAGGUUGGGCGAAUCAGUUAUAGUGUCUUCCUAGAACAAAUUAUACUUGUCGGCUAUGGUAUCUUAAACUUUACGACUUGUCAGUCCUGUGCUAACUAUUUUGAAUACUCGUUCUUAAUACCGUACGACUCAUUUUUUAUUCAGCAGUCAGGUUCAGUUCCCUGGUGAAGACAGUUUUGAGUUGCUUCUUGUUCUUUGUUGCUUCCCCCAAUCCAACAUUUUGUAUCUCAUCUCAUUGGUCUGGCCAUCUAUGUUUCCUCGUAAAUGCUAAAUUAUCACAUUACAUGUUAUUCUCAAAGGUCAUUUAAUUGUGGCAUACUACACAUUUGGGGCAGCCAUUCAGAUUUGUUUGGUCAUGUCUGAAUUUGAUAUUGGGAAUUGACAUGUUCUGUUUAUUACUUGUGGACGUUUUCAUUAUGCUCAUUUAGCAUCAAUGCAACUAUUUUGAAAGUGCUCUAUCCCAUUAUUGAUAAUAACUAAACUAAAGAAAGAAAUAGAAUCUCGUCAGCACCCUGUUCAGAUAGAUAAUUCAGAUUGGUAAUAAUUUGCUUUGAUUCUCAUAAUAUUUGUGCAUUUCUCCUGUGCAACUUGGACGGUUCAUUUGUAUAGAAUAAGUUCAUUGGACUUGACAGGUUAUGUGAGUCUGAGUUCAUUGUACCAUAUUGGAAGUUCAUGAGAAGCUUCAGUCAACCUUUUUCUGUUGGAAUGAGGUUUAAAAUGAAAUACGAAAAUGAAGAUGCUUCAGAAAGAAGGUCAACUGGGAUGAUAACUGGGAGCAGAGAGUCAGACCUGAAGUCGCAUGGUUCGAAGUGGAAAUGUUUGGUGGUGAGAUGGGAUGAUGAUGUAGAGUGCCGUCGCCUUAAUAGGGUAUCUCCUUGGGAGAUUGAACUUGCUGGAUCGGUUUCGGGAUCUCAUCUGUCCUCUCCCCAUUCAAAACGGCUGAAGCCAUGCCUCCCCCAAGUUAAUCCAGACAUGUUGCUUCCAAGUGGAAGUGUUUCUUCGGAUUUUGCGGAAUCUGCCAGAUUCCACAAGGUCUUGCAAGGUCAAGAAUUAUUGGGUUCUAAAGCCCAUGAUGGUACUGUUAAUUCAGCUUCUGAGGCUUCUCAGGCGUCUGAAGCAAGAAAUUUUCAGUACAGUGAUGAUCGGAAUUGCUCUAUCAACAUGUGUAACAUUCCAGGGGUUCCAGGACUUGGUGCUAGAACCCCGCCUGAAAACCAUGGAUUUUCCUACCACUGCUCAGGCUUUGGGGAGUCUCAAAGAUUCCAAAAGGUCUUGCAAGGUCAAGAAGUGUUUGGUCCUUAUGAAGGAGGAACUUUGUCUGAUGCUGUUAUAAGAGGUUCUAGCUUCUGUCAACCUGAUGGCAACUAUACAUCUCGUGCAACAUAUAAAUGGCUUAUGUCACAGGGAUGCGAUUAUCGUGGGCCAGUAACACCAGCAAUGCCUCAAGCAUCCUCUCCAUUAUCUGUGCUAAUGUUCCCUCAAACUAGUUCCAAGAUACAUGGCUUUGAAUACGUAUGCAGAAGCCUGGAUAAGGAUGAUAAUAUUAGACAUGUUACUAUCAACGCCACUCAAGAUAUGGGAAGAACCAGUCAUACAUUACCUCUCUGGCCUCGUCUUGUUUCAGGCAAAGCAGUAGCUAGUUGUGCUGGAACUAAAAAGUUGCCCUCCAUCGGCAGUGCAGAGCAUGAACCAAAUGACAAGGAUGUUCACACAAAUGGCUGCAAAAUCUUUGGUAUCUCUUUGACUCAGAAGGUUCGAGUAUGCGAUGAAGUGGAAUGUAGCAGUGCGAAUUGUGAUUUUUAGCUCCAGCCUUUAAAGCCACAAAUGUCAAAAUCACUAGGCAACAGUUGUGCUACUGUUCAUGAGCAAAGGCCUGCUGUUGGCAUGGUGGUUGACCUUUCUGCGGUUGAUACGAUGAUCUGAUUCGUCUAACUGUGUCCUGGGAGGAGAAGCGGGGCCUACAGCAGGAUUCAUGUUAGUGAUGUGAUACUCAAUGACGCAAAACUUCCACCUGGUUAUUUCAUCCUAUGUGCACAGUUGGCACCGAGUUCAGUAAACACAUCAUGGUUGAUGAGUUGCUGAUGCUUAUCAAAUUUGUAAUGCACUUCUAGAAUUUGAUUUGUUAUAACAUCUAUCUGAAGCUCUCUUUUGAAUCAUCAUUUAUGUUGUACGAGCUGCUAGUGUGUUUUUAAGCUGCAUGGUAUGUUAUGACUUGUUUGUACUAGCACGAUUUAAUUUCGAAGAAUAGAUGUAGUUCUUGUUUGAAUUAGCACCAUUUAUUACAAAGUACUCUAUAAUGUGUAUUUUUUUGAAGUUAAUUUUCU